UACGUAGGGGUGCAAGCGUUAAUCGGAAUUACUGGGCGUAAAGCGUGCGCAGGCGGCUUUGCAAGACAGAUGUGAAAUCCCCGGGCUUAACCUGGGAACUGCAUUUGUGACUGCAUGGCUAGAGUGCGGCAGAGGGGGAUGGAAUUCCGCGUGUAGCAGUGAAAUGCGUAGAUAUGCGGAGGAACACCGGAUGGCGAAGGCGCAAUCCCCUGG
rnacentral:rRNA from 1 species